rnacentral:rRNA from 1 species
UGGGGAAUUUUGGACAAUGGGCGCAAGCCUGAUCCAGCCAUGCCGCGUGCGGGAAGAAGGCCUUCGGGUUGUAAACCGCUUUUGUCAGGGAAGAAAUCUUCUGAGUUAAUACCUCGGGAGGAUGACGGUACCUGAAGAAUAAGCACCGGCUAACUACGUGCCAGCAGCCGCGGUAAUACGUAGGGUGCAAGCGUUAAUCGGAAUUACUGGGCGUAAAGCGUGCGCAGGCGGUUUUGUAAGACAGAGGUGAAAUCCCCGGGCUCAACCUGGGAACUGCCUUUGUGACUGCAAGGCUUGAGUGCGGCAGAGGGGGGAUGGAAUUCCGCGUGUAGCAGUGAAAUGCGUAGAUAUGCGGAGGAACACCGAUGGCGAAGGCAAUCCCCUGGGCCUGCACUGACGCUCAUGCACGAAAGCGUGGGGAGCAAACAGGAUUAGAUACCCUGGUAGUCCACGCCCUAAACGAUGUCAACUGGUUGUUGGGAAUGUUCCUUCUCAGUAACGUAGCUAACGCGUGAAGUUGACCGCCUGGGGAGUACGGCCGCAAGGUUGAAACUCAAAUGAAUUGACGGGGU